UACGUGAGGGUGCGAGCGUUGUCCGGAAUUAUUGGGCGUAAAGCGCGCGUAGGCGGCUACUUAAGUCGGAUGUGAAAGCCCUUGGCUCAACUGAGGAAGUGCACCCGAAACUGAGUGGCUUGAGUACUAAAGAGGGUCGCGGAAUUCCCGGUGUAGAGGUGAAAUUCGUAGAUAUCGGGAGGAACACCGGUGGCGAAGGCGGCGACCUGGGUAGAUACUGACGCUGAGGCGCGAAAGCGUGGGGAGCAAACAGG
rnacentral:rRNA from 1 species